rnacentral:rRNA from 1 species
CACGGGGGGAGCAAGCGUUGUUCGGAAUCACUGGGCGUAAAGGGCGUGUAGGCGGUCAGGUAAGUGAGAUGUGAAAUGCCCCGGCUCACCCGGGGACCGGCAUCUCAUACUGCUUGGCUUGAGUACGGGAGAGGAUGUGGGAAUUCCUGGUGUAGCGGUGAAAUGCGUAGAUAUCAGGAGGAACACCGGUGGCGAAGGCGCACAUCUGGCCCGAUACUGACGCUGAUGAGCGAAAGCUAGGGGAGCAAACGGG